CAGUACGCGGGAAUACAGAGGGUGCAAGCGUUAAUCGGAAUUACUGGGCGUAAAGCGCGCGUAGGUGGUUUGUUAAGUUGGAUGUGAAAGCCCCGGGCUCAACCUGGGAACUGCAUCCAAAACUGGCAAGCUAGAGUACGGUAGAGGGUGGUGGAAUUUCCUGUGUAGCGGUGAAAUGCGUAGAUAUAGGAAGGAACACCAGUGGCGAAGGCGACCACCUGGACUGAUACUGACACUGAGGUGCGAAAGCGUGGGGAGCAAACAGGAUUAGAUACCCGCGUAGUCCCUGUCUCUUAUACAC
rnacentral:rRNA from 1 species